AGAUUAAGUUAUUAAGGGCGCACGGUGGAUGCCUUGGCACUAGAAGCCGAUGAAGGACGUUACUAACGACGAUAUGCUUUGGGGAGCUGUAAGUAAGCUUUGAUCCAGAGAUUUCCGAAUGGGGAAACCCAGCAUGAGUUAUGUCAUGUUAUCGAUAUGUGAAUACAUAGCAUAUCAGAAGGCACACCCGGAGAACUGAAACAUCUUAGUACCCGGAGGAAGAGAAAGAAAAUUCGAUUCCCUUAGUAGCGGCGAGCGAAACGGGAAGAGCCCAAACCAACAAGCUUGCUUGUUGGGGUUGUAGGACACUCUGUACGGAGUUACAAAGGACGACAUUAGACGAAUCAUCUGGAAAGAUGAAUCAAAGAAGGUAAUAAUCCUG
rnacentral:rRNA from 1 species